CGGACAUCAGGAGGUUAGUGCAAUGGCAUAAGCCAGCUUGACUGCGAGCGUGACGGCGCGAGCAGGUGCGAAAGCAGGUCAUAGUGAUCCGGUGGUUCUGAAUGGAAGGGCCAUCGCUCAACGGAUAAAAGGUACUCCGGGGAUAACAGGCUGAUACCGCCCAAGAGUUCAUAUCGACGGCGGUGUUUGGCACCUCGAUGUCGGCUCAUCACAUCCUGGGGCUGAAGUAGGUCCCAAGGGUAUGGCUGUUCGCCAUUUAAAGUGGUACGCGAGCUGGGUUUAGAACGUCGUGAGACAGUUCGGUCCCUAUCUGCCGUGGGCGCUGGAGAACUGAGGGGGGCUGCUCCUAGUACGAGAGGACCGGAGUGGACGCAUCACUGGUGUUCGGGUUGUCAUGCCAAUGGCACUGCCCGGUAGCUAAAUGCGGAAGAGAUAAGUGCUGAAAGCAUCUAAGCACGAAACUUGCCCCGAGAUGAGUUCUCCCUGAGACU
rnacentral:rRNA from 1 species